rnacentral:rRNA from 1 species
AGAGAUGGCAAGCGUUGUUCGGAAUCAUUGGGCGUAAAGCGCGCGUAGGCGGCCUAGCAAGUUGGGGUGUGAAAUCCCCUGGGCUCACCCAGGGAACUGCAUUCGAUACUACUAGGCUUGAGGACAGGAGGGGAGAGUGGAACUUCUGGUGGAGCGGUGAAAUGCGUAGAUAUCAGAAGGAACACCGGUGGCGAAAGCGACUCUCUGGCCUGUAUCUGACGCUGAGGUGCGAAAGCUAGGGGAGCAAACGGGAUUAGAUACCCCGGUAGUCCUAGCCGUAAACGAUGGGCACUAAGUAGAGGGUAGUAACACUACUCCCUGCCGAAGCUAACGCAUUAAGUGCCCCGCCUGGGGAGUACGGCCGCAAAGGCUAA